AACUUUAUGACAUAAUUGAAACGUUUUAGAUAUUUUUUAUAAAGAAUAAUCAGUAAAAAUAAAUUAUUUAUAGUUAUUUGUAUCCAGAAAAAUUUCGUUGCAAUAGAUAUAUUUUUUAUAUUAAAUUCAACAAAUAUUUUAAGAAAUAAAAACGAUUAUACCGUUGCGAUUAGUCGUUAUAAUAAAUGAUAUUGAUUUAUAGGUAUUAAUAACAAGUUAAAUAAUGAAUUUUGACAAAACAAACGUGCACUUUAUACUAUUUACUUUUCGAAAUAAUAUGUGAAAUAAUAAUAUGUUUUAUUUAAAUAUUUUUCAUACAUUUUGUCCAUACAAAUAAACUGAUAAUUUUUGUUCAAAGAUAGUCUAUAAUUAUUAAUGUGUUAACAAAUGUUUGGACCCCUGUGUGUUUUUAAUCUUAUAAAUUCGAAAUGGUUUAAAAUAUUAUUAUUAACGAAAAUAAUGUGCACACAUUAUGUUUGUGUGUUUCUCGUUAUAUUGACUUAAACGUCUAUGAAACCUCACACUGUGUUUAUCAUAUUAGAUAAGGCUGUUUGCCCUAACUAAAAGGCCAAAGAUCAUGUUUGCGCGUUAUCUCGGUACAGCUUAGGUCAUCCGUUAGCGCUCGUCGACCUUUGCGCGCGCAACCGAUAUAUUUAUGUAAGAGCCGACGUACUCAGCGCGCCAGUUCUCCGUCGGACAGAUAGCUGAACGAUCUUGGGCAGCCGGAGUUCACCAUUAUUAUUUCGUUUGUUCUAAUAUUUUUCAUUCGUGUACAGUUUUUAAUUUAAGUUACAUCUGUAUAAUUAUUUGACGGUUAAUAACUUGCUAUUAUUAUUACUAUUAUUACUUAAUAUUUUUUUUUUACAUUUUUACAUGUAGGCAUCCCUCGGCGGACCCUUUAAAUACGGCCACUAUUGCAAGGGACAUCGUCCGAUUCUCAUUUUAGAACUACAGUUCGUCACAGUAGGCUAAAAUCAAAAGGCGGCUGGUGGAAACAUGU